GAUGAACGCUGGCGGCGUGCUUAACACAUGCAAGUCGAACGAAGCAAUAGGAAGGAAGUUUUCGGAUGGAAUUCAUAUUGACUGAGUGGCGGACGGGUGAGUAACGCGUGGGUAACCUGCCUCAUACAGGGGGAUAACAGUUAGAAAUGACUGCUAAUACCGCAUAAGCGCACAGAAUCGCAUGAUUCGGUGUGAAAAACUCCGGUGGUAUGAGAUGGACCCGCGUCUGAUUAGCUAGUUGGUGGGGUAAAGGCCUACCAAGGCGACGAUCAGUAGCCGACCUGAGAGGGUGAUCGGCCACAUUGGGACUGAGACACGGCCCAA
rnacentral:rRNA from 1 species